rnacentral:rRNA from 1 species
UUGGCGACCGGCGCACGGUGCGUAACGCGUAUGUAACCUACCUAUAACAGGGGCAUAACACUGAGAAAUUGGUACUAAUUCCCCAUAAUAUUCGGAGAGGCAUCUCUCCGGGUUGAAAACUCCGGUGGUUAUAGAUGGACAUGCGUUGUAUUAGCUAGUUGGUGAGGUAACGGCUCACCAAGGCAACGAUACAUAGGGGGACUGAGAGGUUAACCCCCACACUGGUACUGAGACACGGACCAGACUCCUACGGGAGGCAGCAUG